UUACAAUUGAUAACAACAAUUCAACCACACAUCAACACCAAAAACAAUCCACUCCAAAAUCCAAAUUAUCCUCUCCUGAAAUCCAUCACCCAAAAAUAAAAGAAAAAAACUAGCUAUACAUCUCGUUAAACCAUCAUUAUUCAUAUUAAGUAUUGAGAUACACUUCUACACCCAAAUAUGACUUGCUCGAGUAACAUAUAAUGCAAAGUGUACUACAAAUGAUCACAUACUUUAUUAUCCACCUCAUUAUACUAGGUCUAUUAUCUACUUCAUUAUACUUCAUCUAGUCUAUGGCAAGUUUCAUGCAUUCAGCACCUCAUAUAUCGGUACCUAUCAUAGUAUCAUUCCAUAGCUUUCAUGAAGUGCUAUUUUGAGAUAACCUUAUGUUUGACCACGGUACAAAAAGAAAUAACCACCACGAGUAUAUGAUAAAAAAUUUGGGGCGAAAUAAUAAAAGUGCUUUAAAUAAUUGGUGCAAUUCGACUUAAAAAGGCUUACUUACCAUUAUACCACAGAUCAAAUCUCCACUCGAUAUUAUGCAAGUCUUGAAGAAUGGCAAAAACAAUCCAUUGAUAAAGCUGCUCUUAUUCGAAAAUUUUGCCAUGAUUUGGUUCGCUAUUGUCAAAAGAGCCUCCCAAAAUUCCUUUAAUUAACUAAGCAUGGACAGCAGAACUAUAAAGGAUCAAAAUGUAAUCCAUAAUCUUAUCUGGGAGUUUUUCUAGGAACGCCAACAACAGAAAUAAGUCGAAGUACUACGAAUUCGUGUGUGCUUUGUGUUGCCGCCUCAUAAAUUUCCCUGUACGCAAUCUUGUUGGCUUCCUCGCUCUAACAAGACCCUUCUUCCUCAUUUUCUCUAGCUUUUCUUUCCGGCCUUGUAUGUCAGCUUCAAUGACCUUGUCUCUGCUCUCUUUGGACAACAAAGCCAGCCUAGCAAACUUCUUCGGUCUCACUUGCCCUAGCCGUUCGUUUAUAUCCUUGAAGGCCGGUACUAGACCAGCUCUCAUGAAAAAUCCUUCAGUUAGCUUCAUCGAAUUCAUCUCCGGGAGUGCCAGCGCAUCUUUCAACUCUAAGUCGACGCAGAAAGAAGAAUCCUUCAGCCACAUCCUAAGAGAAUGAGCUUUUGCAACAAGAACUCCUGUUCUAGUUUUGCAUGGCAAAAAUGGUGAACCCAUCUCCCAAAGGUAUGCUUUGAGGGUAUUGCUCAAGGAAACCAUGUUAUAUUCUGCAGUCCCUGUUAUCAGAACAACAGAUUUUGGGGAUUCGGGAGAUCCCUGCAAGGAAGCAUCCUGUUGGAAAAUGAUAAUUAGCCUGGUCAGACAUCAGAUCACAUAAUAGAGUAUUAAGGAGUAUAUCAGUAGCCCUGGGGAUGGAAGGAAAACUUAAAAGAGUAUACUAGAUAAAUACUGAAUUUUUUAUUAAUAAGGAUACAAUAUCCCUAAUGUGGAUUGAUAAAUGUACAAAAGCUUGCUGUUAAGACUAUUGCCAAAGGACCGAAAAGCCUAUCCGGACUGAUGAUAAAAUCAUGUCAUAGAAUAAUGAAGCGUCCAGUUUAUUCAAUAAAUUUUGGAUAUCCGCAAUUGAUAAUUUGUUUAGACUAUUAAUCGCUCAAUUACCUUUUCUCCUCCAAACUCUCAUACUAGGUGCUACAUGAAUACCUCAGAUUUUAACAGGCAAGGUGUACAAACUUUGACGAGAAGUGCAGAGUUUAUUCUGCAAUGCCCCAAAAGCAACUAAAAUCUCACCAAAAGCAUUACUGAAAUACUUACUUGCAUGUUGUCAAGCCAUAAUGUAAGACCAACAAGUGCAGCACCAGCAGAUAACUUCCGAAAGUCAGCUCCCCAAUCUUUUUCAGCAACCCUGAAUUAUGAUAUGAUAUCAAGAGUCUUACUGUACAGGCAUAGACAGCCCAAUCACUUGAUAAUGCAGCAAAAUUAACUGAGCUAUAAUCAGAUGGCACUGCUCAUUAACAACUGAAAUAAUACAUGGUAUGAAUUUCUGGACAUUAGCUGUGAAUCAGGUUUCAUACAGACAAGGUGCAAAUUGACUCCUAUUGGAAGUUCAGAAGAUUGACUAGACAGAAAAACUCUCUGUUCACAUACGGGAAUACAUUUCUACUGUGUAAUACAAGUUAAUGAAAAGCUGGAAACAAGUCUACCAUAAUAAUUUCCCUAAGGUCAGAAAAAUAAUUUGAAUCCAGUCACUGACAUUGGCCAAAAGAACAUUUUGAUUGACGGAUAUGCAAAACAACUGCCAGUUGAAUAUUUAAUUUGAAGGAGUUGUUUAACAUCCUUUACAACAUCUCUGUGGCUUUCAAAUUAUUUUUAGUUCUUGCGAAAUGUGCAGGAUAAUUAUUUAAAAUAUGUUGUAUAGAAUGUGUUCCAAACUAGUUAAAUUUCAAGGGAGAAAAUCAUAUUGAUCAUUCACUAUCAUAUUUUGACUAUUUCACUAUUAUAGUACCCAGUAUUAUAGCUAGCUAGGGGUGGCAAUCCAGCUCGCUGUUCGCGAGCUAGCUCGUGUUCGGCUCGAAAUGAGCUCGAGAUCGGCUCGCUCGUUUAGUAAACGAGCUGAACACGAGCUGGAUUUUUCAGCUCGUUUAAUAAAUGAGCCGAACACGAGCU
rnacentral:lncRNA from 1 species